ACGAAUACUUAUUCCUUCCUCAAAAUGGCCGCUAGAGCACCCCCUCCCAUCGACCAAAACACUUGUGUAACAAGAUGGCGCCUCCAUCCGGGACUACCCCCAAACUGACGACAUCAACAUCCAACAACAAGAAGUAAAUUCAAAAUAAGGACUUAACCAAUCACAAGCUUACGACGAGAAUUAUGUAAAUGCUUACGAAUCAUGUUUG